CAACAGGGAUUGCCCUAGUAACGGCGAGUGAAGCGGCAACAGCUCAAAUUUGAAAGCUGGCCUCGGCCCGCAUUGUAAUUUGCAGAGGAUGCUUCUGGCGCGGUGCCUUCCGAGUUCCCUGGAACGGGACGCCACAGAGGGUGAGAGCCCCGUAUGGUCGGCCACCAAGCCUGUGUGAAGCUCCUUCGACGAGUCGAGUAGUUUGGGAAUGCUGCUCAAAAUGGGAGGUAAAUCUCUUCUAAAGCUAAAUACCGGCCAGAGACCGAUAGCGCACAAGUAGAGUGAUCGAAAGAUGAAAAGCACCUUGAAAAGGGGGUUAAACAGUACGUGAAAUUGUUGAAAGGGAAGCGCUUGUGACCAGACUUGCGCCGGGCGGCUCAUCAGGGGUUCUCCCCUGUGCACUCCGCCCGGCUCAGGCCAGCAUCGGUUCUCGCGGGGGGAUAAGAGCGGAGGGAACGUAGCUCCCACUCGUGGGGAGUGUUAUAGCCCGCCGCACGAUGCCCUCGCGGGGACCGAGGUUCGCGCUCCGCAAGGAUGCUGGCGUAAUGGUCAUCAGCGACCCGUCUUGAAACACGGACCAAGGAGUCGUCCAUUAGAGCGAGCGUUUGGGUGUCAAACCCGCACGCGUAAUGAAAGUGAACGCAGGUGAGAGCUUCGGCGCAUCAUCGACCGAUCCUGAUGUUCUCGGAUGGAUUUGAGUAAGAGUUUUAACGGACGGACCCGAAAGACAGUGAACUAUGCUUGUAUAGGGUGAAGCCAGAGGAAACUCUGGUGGAGGCUCGCAGCGGUUCUGACGUGCAAAUCGAUCGUCAAAUAUGAGCAUGGGGGCGAAAGACUAAUCGAAC
rnacentral:rRNA from 1 species